AGAGUUUGAUCCUGGCUCAGGACGAACGCUGGCGGCGCGCCUAACACAUGCAAGUCGAACGGAGCUGAGAGGAGCUUGCUUUUCUUAGCUUAGUGGCGAACGGGUGAGUAACGCGUGAGUAACCUGCCCUGGAGUGGGGGACAACAGUUGGAAACGACUGCUAAUACCGCAUAAGCCCACGAUCCGGCAUCGGAUUGAGGGAAAAGGAUUUAUUCGCUUCAGGAUGGACUCGCGUCCAAUUAGCUAGUUGGUGAGGUAACGGCCCACCAAGGCGACGAUUGGUAGCCGGACUGAGAGGUUGAACGGCCACAUUGGGACUGAAGACACGGCCCAGACUCCUACGGGAGGCAGCA
rnacentral:rRNA from 1 species